CCACCUGAAUGUCACAUUGUAGUUGCGGCUCUGCGUCGACAUUCAGGCGUUCGAAAGAAAAAGGGGAUUCAAAAGCUAACAUUAAAAUUGACCAUAGACUAGACAGACUGUAUUAUCUCGGCGAGCACUGCACGCACCACUAUGAUUUAUCUCUUAUAAUCAUCAUGAUCAUCAUCAGCCACAGUCAAACCACUGCUGGAUGAAGUCCUACCCAACCCGGCAUCAUCUCUCACUAACCCGCGGUGUAACGAUCCACCGAGCAUCUGUGCGACGAGAUGAUUUCACGGUUCCAUCUCCUCAAUGGAUACCCUUUAAUCUCUUUUAGAAUUAAACAUGUUAAUUUCACGGCUAAUUUCCAAAGGUAUACAUUGUGUAGCCAUGCAUAUUGCGGGCAACCCACUUGCAGACUAUUAUCCCGAUCCCACAGUGUGUCGAGGGACAGCGUUUGUUGUGGUUGUUGCAAGCAAAGUCAACCGCGAACAGAUACACCUCUGAGAUUGAUAAUCAUUUCCUGCUGGUUGAGAUUUUUUUUUUGUAAAAAAAAAAAAGCGUGGACAAAAAAGAGAAACGCCCUCCAUCGCUUCUGAUUUAAGCGGAGCCUCGCGGCGUCCGAAGACACCCCGAUAUUGAGAGCGCAGCGCAAACCGCGCGUAGUGGCGAGAAUUCCUGCUUCGGGAAAAUGCGACGGAAAGUUCGCCUGAGAGUGUCUCCGAAUGCCGCGUCACGCUUUGUCCAUCCCAGGACGGCUUUGUGCAACGAACAGAGGAAGGGUGGUUCGAGGUGUUAGCUGCGAUUGUUAGCAGUCACCCAUAACGCAAUAAUACAUUGCACACCUCGCAUUUUUGAUGGCUCUAGAAUGACCCAUUUACUGGGUGUGCAGAUUUAAAUUUUUACUUGCGGUCUUGGCAAAAUUAAGAUUAUCCACUUCAUGAAUUCACAUUAUCGUCAUUAUAACUGCAUUAGGACUGUCCUGGCUGAGCGGCGUUGCUCUGUAGCUGCACGAGCAGCCAUCUGGAACUCUCUUCCAGCAUCCAAGCACCAUCAUCCACCUUCAAGCAAGAGUUUAAGGCUCUCACCUGUUCAGGCUCUCACCCGUGCAAGGAAUUGUUUAGUGCACAUAUUGUUCGUCACCGAUACAGAGAAGUCAUACUUCAAUGCCCUUUGUCUACGGCCAGGGUGAAGACACCUCUGCACGGUGCGCUGUAUAUAACGACAACAAAAGCCAUGUCCUGAAUUGCCGGUGUCUCCGUGGCAUUGACAAAUGGUGAUGAGCGCAAGAUAGCAGCAGGAAGGCCAAGUACACUUUUACACAAUGGUAGGCUAUUUUUUAUAUUUUUUUGCAGAAUGCAACGCGUCCAUUGCACGACUCAUUCACGCAUCACGGCAGUGGCGUGCGUGCGUUCGGAAUGUAUUUUUUUUGUUGCAUCUAAAGGCACGUUCAUACGAGCUCUUAAAAUGUCGCGACGAAAUAACAACACGGAGCUGACACGUCUUCGCCGCGGUUUAAAUCAUACGUACUGGCGAAUUUUGGAUCCAAGUGAACAACGAUGACGUUAUACUCUUUGGUUUUAUUCCGGUAAAGUCACGAAGGUAAAAUAAAAUAAAACG